UACUAAAAUUUUUAUCUAUUUUUACUGUUAAAAGUUGAUGUGAUUAAUGGAAUAAUAAAAAACUUACACAUGAUGUGCUACGUGUACCUUAUGCUGAUGUAUAAAGAACAAUUGUUUAUCGAUAGAAAUUAAUGAAAUUUUUAACU
rfam:Gossypium hirsutum cultivar TM-1 chromosome 1, whole genome shotgun sequence